UGAAAGUUUUAUUCUAGCUUAUGAAUUUGGUUUUUAAAUUGGUUUAUAUGUAAGCUUUAGCAUUUACCUUAUAUUUUUUAGAUAGAUUUAUAAAUUAUUAUUUCUAUUAAGUUCGCAGUAUAGAAUUUUGAAUAUGGAAGAAAUUUUGAUUUAGGGGUUUUUAAUAGUACUGACAAAAUUUGUGCCAGCAGUUGCGGUUAUACAAAUAGUGCAACUAAAUUUGUUUAGUUAAUAGUAAGAGUAUUAGUCAUAGUGUAGUUGUAGGUUUAUUAGGUGAAAUUUUAAAUUGGAGUUAUACUAGAAAAAUGAGCUUGAGGCUGUGAGAUUCUUUUAAUAAACUAGGAUUAGAUACCCUAUUAUUGGGAAUGUAAAUAUAAAUACUUGAAUAUUAGUAGUUAUGUGCUUGAAAUUUAAAGAAUUUGGCGGUAUUCUAGCCUGUUCAGAGGAACCUGCCCUGUAAUUGAUGGUCCACGAUUAAUUGUACUUAUUUUAAAGGUUUGUAUAUCGUCGUAGUUUGAAUGUUUUAAAAGAAUUGUAAUGUUCAAGAUUCAUUGUUAAGUGAGGGAAAUCAGAUCAAGGUACAGCGUAUAGGUAAGUAGAGGUGGGUUACAAUAAAUUGAUUUAUAUGGUUAUUAUAAUUAAAAUUAUAGUAUAAAGUGGAUUUGAAAGUAAAGUGAUUAAAUUAAAUUGUUUGAUUUUAGCUCUAGAAUAUGCACAUAUCGCCCGUCGCUCCCCCUCUAAAGUGGGAUAAGUCGUAACAUAGUAGGUGUACUGGAAAGUGUACCUAGUAAGG
rnacentral:ncRNA from 1 species